rnacentral:rRNA from 1 species
CCUACGGGUGUCAGCAGUGGGGAAUAUUGCACAAUGGGGGAAACCCUGAUGCAGCGAAGCCGCGUGAGUGAAGAAGUAUUUCGGUACGUAAAGCUCUAUCAGCAGGGAAGAAACUGACGGUACCUGACUCAGAAGCCCCGGCUAACUACGUGCCAGCCGCCGCGGUAAUACGUAGGGGGCAAGCGUUAUCCGGAUUUACUGGGUGUAAAGGGAGCGUAGACGGCAGCGCAAGUCUGGAGUGAAAUCACAUGGCUGAACCCUGGAACUGCUUUGGAAACUGUGUAGCUAGAGUGCAGGAGAGGUAAGCGGAAUUCCUAGUGUAGCGGUGAAAUGCGUAGAUAUUAGGAGGAACACCAGUGGCGAAGGCGGCUUACUGGACGGUAACUGACGUUGAGGCUCGAAAGCGUGGGGAGCAAACAGGAUUAGAUACCCUUGUAGUC